UUGGCACUGACAGGAUUAUUUCUAUAGUUGAUUCCUAGAGAGGAGUGUGUAAUAGUGAUUGGUUUUGCUGGCCACAAUGAAGAGUCAUUAGUGCUCUCUUCUGACUGUGAAAUUGGUAGGCAGUGCUGUUUGUGUACAGCUGCUGCUUACUCUUGAUGAUUGCUGAGCUUCUUUUAGGGAGCUGAAGAACGAGAGUACAAGCUGAGUGGU
rfam:Alligator mississippiensis ScZkoYb_19, whole genome shotgun sequence.